rnacentral:rRNA from 1 species
AUGAACGCUGGCGGCGUGCCUAAUACAUGCAAGUCGAGCGAACAGAUGAGGAGCUUGCUCCUCUGACGUUAGCGGCGGACGGGUGAGUAACACGUGGAUAUCCUACCUAUAAGACUGGGAUAACUUCGGGAAACCGGAGCUAAUACCGGAUAAUAUAUUGAACCGCAUGGUUCAAUAGUGAAAGACGGUUUUGCUGUCACUUAUAGAUGGAUCCGCGCCGCAUUAGCUAGUUGGUAAGGUAACGGCUUACCAAGGCAACGAUGCGUAGCCGACCUGAGAGGGUGAUCGGCCACACUGGAACUGAGACACGGUCCAGACUCCUACGGGAGGCAGCAGUAGGGAAUCUUCCGCAAUGGGCGAAAGCCUGACGGAGCAACGCCGCGUGAGUGAUGAAGGUCUUCGGAUCGUAAAACUCUGUUAUUAGGGAAGAACAAAUGUGUAAGUAACUAUGCACGUCUUGACGGUACCUAAUCAGAAAGCCACGGCUAACUACGUG